CACGUAGGGUGCGAGCGUUGUCCGGAAUUAUUGGGCGUAAAGAGCUCGUAGGCGGUUUGUCGCGUCGGCUGUGAAAACCUGAGGCUCAACCUCGGGCCUGCAGUCGAUACGGGCAAACUAGAGUUCGGUAGGGGAGACUGGAAUUCCUGGUGUAGCGGUGGAAUGCGCAGAUAUCAGGAGGAACACCGAUGGCGAAGGCAGGUCUCUGGGCCGAUACUGACGCUGAGGAGCGAAAGCGUGGGGAGCGAACAGG
rnacentral:rRNA from 1 species